rnacentral:rRNA from 1 species
AUUGAACGCUGGCGGCAGGCCUAACACAUGCAAGUCGAACGGUAGCACAGAGAGCUUGCUCUCGGGUGACGAGUGGCGGACGGGUGAGUAAUGUCUGGGAAACUGCCCGAUGGAGGGAGAUAACUACUGGAAACGGUAGCUAAUACCGCAUAACGUCGCAAGACCAAAGUGGGGGACCUUCGGGCCUCACACCAUCGGAUGUGCCCAGAUGGGAUGAGCUAGUAGGUGGGGUAACGGCUCACCUAGGCGACGAUCCCUAGCUGGUCUGAGAGGAUGACCAGCCACACUGGAACUGAGACACGGUCCAGACUCCUACGGGAGGCAGCAGUGGGGAAUAUUGCACAAUGGGCGCAAGCCUGAUGCAGCCAUGCCGCGUGUAUGAAGAAGGCCUUCGGGUUGUAAAGUACUUUCAGCGAGGAGGAAGGCAUUAAGGUUAAUAACCUUAGUGAUUGACGUUACUCGCAGAAGAAGCACCGGCUAACUCCGUGCCAGCAGCCGCCGCCG